AGAGUUUGAUCAUGGCUCAGGAUGAACGCUAGCGGCAGGCUUAAUACAUGCAAGUCGUGGGGCAGCAGUCCCGCAGCAAUGCGGGAGCUGGCGACCGGCAAACGGGUGCGGAACACGUACACAACCUUCCUUUAAGUGGGGAAUAGCCCGGGGAAACCCGGAUUAAUACCCCGUAAUAUAAUGAAGUGGCAUCACUUUAUUAUUAUAGCUCCGGCGCUUGAAGAUGGGUGUGCGACUGAUUAGGCAGUUGGCGGGGUAACGGCCCACCAAACCUACGAUCAGUAACUGGUGUGAGAGCACGACCAGUCACACGGGCACUGAGACACGGGCCCGACUCCUACGGGAGGCAGCAGUAAGGAAUAUUGGUCAAUGGACGCAAGUCUGAACCAGCCAUGCCGCGUGGAGGAUGAAGGUCCUCUGGAUUGUAAACUUCUUUUAUCUGGGAAGAAAUGCAUUUUUUCUAAAAUGCUUGACGGUACCAGGUGAAUAAGCACCGGCUAACUCCGUGCCAGCAGCCGCGGUAAUACGGAGGGUGCAAGCGUUAUCCGGAUUCACUGGGUUUAAAGGGUGCGUAGGUGGGUUGGUAAGUCAGUGGUGAAAUCUCCAGGCUUAACUUGGAAACUGCCAUUGAUACUAUCAAUCUUGAAUACCGUGGAGGUCAGCGGAAUAUGUCAUGUAGCGGUGAAAUGCUUAGAGAUGACAUAGAACACCAAUUGCGAAGGCAGCUGGCUACACGAAUAUUGACACUGAUGCACGAAAGCGUGGGGAUCAAACAGGAUUAGAUACCCUAGUAGUCC
rnacentral:rRNA from 1 species